rnacentral:rRNA from 1 species
GGUUUCCGUAGGUGAACCUGCGGAAGGAUCAUUACCGAUGUAAUCCAAAAGCACGACUCCGUCGUGACUACCGUGUGAACCGUACCAAACUAUUCAGGGGUCGGCCAGUCCGUUAAAUGGCGGUCGGACGCGUGCCUUGCGCGCGGCCGCUCCGCCAGCCCCGCCUGUGUUUUUUAACAUACGUGUCUUGUCUGAAAACGUGACCACUGCCGUGGUCCAGAGCAAAGAAAAAGAGAGACAACUUUUGACGGUGGAUCUCUUGGCUCACGCAUCGAUGAAGAACGCAGCCAGCUGCGAUAAGUAGUGUGAAUUGCAGAAUUCAGUGAAUCAUCGAAUCUUUGAACGCAAAUGGCGCUCUUGGGUUCUCCCAGGAGCAUGUCUGUCUGAGUGUCGGAUAUCAUCCAACGCACCUAGUCGUGCGGCGUUGAGGCGUCACGGCCCUUCUCGCGGCCGUGUCCCUUGAAAGUCAGCGAGACUCGCCGCGGCACGGGUUCGUUCCCUGCACACUCGCGGAGGCUAAAAACGCUUUUGCCCUUCGCGUGCACGGGAGCGGCCCGCCCGCCGAGUCGCGGAGGCGAACAAUUUUCAACUCUUGACCUCAGAAUCAGG